CCUACGGGGGGCAGCAGUGGGGAAUAUUGCACAAUGGGGGGAACCCUGAUGCAGCCAUGCCGCGUGAGUGAAGAAGUAUUUCGGUAUGUAAAGCUCUAUCAGCAGGGAGGAAGAUGACGGUACCUGAGUCAGAAGCCACGGCUAACUACGUGCCAGCAGCCGCGGUAAUACGUCGGGGGCAAGCGUUAUCCGGAUUUACUGGGGGUAAAGGGAGCGUAGACGGCUAGGCAAGUCAGAAGUGAAAGCCCGGGGCUCAACCCCGGGACUGCUUUGGAUACUGGCUGGCUGGAGUGCUGUAGAGGCAAGCGGAAUGCCUGGUGUAGCGGUGAAAUGCGUAGAGAUUAGGAAGAACACCAGUGGCGAAGGCGGCUUGCUGGACAAUAACUGACGUUGAGGCUCGAAAGCGUGGGGAGCAAACAGGAUUAGAUACCCUGGUAGUC
rnacentral:rRNA from 1 species